GGAGGAUACGAAAGCCCAGAGAGCAACGGAGAGACUGAGAAAUGGAGAAGUACUUCGGUAACGCGUAUAGAGGAGACCCGGGUGUCCCACAUGCCGACCCGGAACGACUUGUGUACAUAUGGAUCGGGUCCACCGCCUCUCAGCCCUCACUUGGGUCAAUCCCUACAUGUGGCAGCUCUCCAAUCAUUUCAAUUGGCAUGACAAAGCAAUGCUGUUUGAGCAGUACCAUUGGAAAAAGGCAAUGAAGCUUUAAGUGGAACGAAUACAUGGACAAGGACCAAAGGGAGUCCUACUAUUUCAACUGGCCUGUUUACUUCCCUUCGCUGUUUUACGUGUAUGUCGAAAUGGGCUUGCUCUUGUUUCGAAUUACUUAGCUGAAACUCUAGUUGCACGAAGGGUUAUAAGGUUUAUAAUGCUCCUUCAUUGUAAUCAUCUUCUGUUUUGGAUCGAAUGCUUAAAUACGAAUUUUAUUUUCUGCAAA